AUUGAACGCUGGCGGCAGGCCUAACACAUGCAAGUCGAGCGGAGCGGCGGACGGGUGAGUAAUGCCUAGGAAUGUGCCUGGUAGCGGGGGAUAACGUCCGGAAAGGGGCGCUAAUACCGCAUACUAUCAGAUGAGCCUAGGUCGGAUUAGCUAGUUGGUGGGGUAAAGGCCUACCAAGGCGACGAUCCGUAACUGGUCUGAGAGGAUGAUCAGUCACACUGGAACUGAGACACGGCCCAGACUCCUACGGGAGGCAGCAGUGGGGAAUUUUGGACAAUGGGCGAAAGCCUGAGCCAGCCAGGCCGCGUGUGUGAAGAAGGUCUUCGGAUUGUAAAGCACUUUUAGUAGGGAGGCGUUACCAACAGAAUAAGCACCGGCUAACUACGUGCCAGCAGCCGCGGUAAUAC
rnacentral:rRNA from 1 species